UUCGGCCGGAACCGCCAUCUUCCAGUAAUUCGCCAAAAUGACGAACACAAAGGGAAAGAGGAGAGGCACCCGAUAUAUGUUCUCUAGGCCUUUUAGAAAACAUGGAGUUGUUCCUUUGGCCACGUAUAUGCGAAUCUAUAAGAAAGGUGAUAUUGUAGACAUCAAGGGAAUGGGUACUGUUCAAAAAGGAAUGCCCCACAAGUGUUACCAUGGCAAAACUGGGAGAGUCUACAACGUUACCCAGCAUGCUGUUGGCAUUGUUGUAAACAAACAAGUUAAGGGCAAGAUUCUUGCCAAGAGAAUUAAUGUGCGUAUUGAGCACAUUAAGCACUCUAAGAGCCGAGAUAGCUUCCUGAAACGCGUGUAGGAAAAUGAUCAGAAAAAGAAGCCAAAGAGAAAGGUAUCUGGGUUCAGCUGAAGCGCCAGCCUGCUCCACCCAAAGAAGCACACUUUGUGAGGACCAAUGGGAAGGAGCCUGAGCUGCUGGAACCUAUUCCCUAUGAAUUCAUGGCAUAAUAGGUGUUAAAAAAAAUAAAAUAAAAGACCUCUGGGCUGAAAAAUGUUUCUCUUCAUUGAGUAGAAGUGUGGUGUCCUCUCCCCCAAAGAAAUACUUCAAGCAAA